rfam:Xenopus laevis strain J chromosome 2S, whole genome shotgun sequence.
GGUUCCAUGGUGUAAUGGUUAGGACUCUGAAUCCAACGAUCCGAGUUCAAAUCUCGGUGGGACCU